rnacentral:rRNA from 1 species
UACGUAGGGGGCAAGCGUUGUCCGGAAUCAUUGGGCGUAAAGAGCGUGUAGGCGGCCCGAUAAGUCCGCUGUGAAAGUCCAGGGCUCAACCCCGGGAGGCGGGUGGAUACUGGCCAGCUCGAGUCCGGAAGAGGAGUGUGGAAUUCCUGGUGUAGCGGUGAAAUGCGCAGAUAUCAGGAGGAACACCGGUGGCGAAGGCGGGUCUCUGGGCCGAUACUGACGCUGAGGAGCGAAAGCGUGGGGAGCAAACAGG